rnacentral:rRNA from 1 species
GCCUAAAGCGUCCGUAGCCUGAUCUAUAAGUUUCCGGUUAAAUCCACAUGCUCAACAUUUGGGCUGCCGGAAAAACUGUAGAUCUAGGGAGUGGGAGAGGUAGACGGUACUCGGUAGGAAGGGGUAAAAUCCUUUGAUCUAUUGAUGACCACCUGUGGCGAAGGCGGUCUACCAGAACACGUCCGACGGUGAGGGAUGAAAGCUGGGGGAGCAAACCGGAUUAGAUACCCGGGUAGUCCCAGCUGUAAACUAUGCAAACUCAGUGAUGCAUUGGCUUGAUGCCAAUGCAGUGUUGCAGGGAAGCCGUUAAGUUUGCCGCCUGGGAAGUACGUACGCAAGUAUGAAACUUAAAGGAAUUGGCGGGGGAGCACCACAAGGGGUGAAGCCUGCGGUUCAAUUGGAGUCAACGCCAGAAAUCUUACCCGGAGAGACAGCAGAAUGAAGGUCAAGCUGAAGACUUUACCAGACAAGCUGAGAGGUGGUGCAUGGCCGUCGCCAGCUCGUGCCGUGAGAUGUCCUGUUAAGUCAGGUAACGAGCGAGAUCCUUGCCUCUAGUUGCCACCAUUACUCUCAGGAGUAGUGGGGCGAAUUAGCGGGACCGCCGUAGUUAAUACGGAGGAAGGAAGGGGCCACGGCAGGUCAGUAUGCCCCGAA